rnacentral:rRNA from 1 species
UGGGGAAUCUUGCGCAAUGGCCUAACGGCUGACGCAGCGACGCCGCGUGUGGGAUGAAGCUCUUCGGAGUGUAAACCACUGUUGCCCGGGACGAAUAGCUCGAUUCAUCGAGCCUGACGGUACCGGGUGAGGAAGCACCGGCUAACUCCGUGCCAGCAGCCGCGGUAAUACGGGGGGCUGCGAGCGUUGUCCGGAAUCACUGGGCGUAAAGGGCGCGUAGGUGGUUUGAUAAGGGUGUGGUGAAAGUCCGGGGCUCAACCCCGGAUCUGCCGUGCCGACUGUCAAACUCGAGGGCUGUAGAGGCAGACGGAAUUCCGGGUGUAGCGGUGGAAUGCGUAGAGAUCCGGAGGAAGACCGGUGGCGAAGGCGGUCUGCUGGGCAGUUCUGACACUGAUGCGCGACAGCGUGGGGGAGCAAACAGGAUUAGAUACC